GCAUCAAUUGCAACAAUCUGGGGCCGCAGUAUGUCUGUACGAAUUUCUGGACCUUCAUCUGUACAAACUGUAGUGGAAUACAUCGUGAGUUCACCCACCGCGUGAAAUCAAUUUCAAUGGCAAAGUUCACUACGCAAGAAGUGAUUGCCCUUCAAGAAGGGGGAAAUCAGCGUGCUAAAGAAAUUUAUUUCAAAGAGUGGGAUGCACAACGUCAACCAGCUCCUGAUAGCAGUAAUAUUGACAGACUUCGGGAGUUCAUCAAGCA
rnacentral:misc_RNA from 1 species